rnacentral:rRNA from 1 species
CUUACACAUGCAAGUCGAACGAUGAAAGAGAGCUUGCUCUCUGGAUUAGUGGCGAACGGGUGAGUAACACGUGAGUAACCUGCCCCUCACUCUGGGAUAAGCGUUGGAAACGACGUCUAAUACCGGAUACGAGCUUCAGCCGCAUGGCUAGGAGCUGGAAAGAAUUUUGGUGAGGGAUGGACUCGCGGCCUAUCAGGUAGUUGGUGAGGUAACGGCUCACCAAGCCGACGACGGGUAGCCGGCCUGAGAGGGUGACCGGCCACACUGGGACUGAGACACGGCCCAGACUCCUACGGGAGGCAGCAGUGGGGAAUAUUGCACAAUGGGCGAAAGCCUGAUGCAGCAACGCCGCGUGAGGGACGACGGCCUUCGGGUUGUAAACCUCUUUUAGUAGGGAAGAAACGAAAGUGACGGUACCUGCAGAAAAAGCACCGGCUAACUACGUGCCAGCAGCCGCGGUAAUACGUAGGGUGCAAGCGUUGUCCGGAAUUAUUGGGCGUAAAGAGCUCGUAGGCGGUUUGUCGCGUCUGCUGUGAAAUCCGGAGGCUCAACCUCCGGCCUGCAGUGGGUACGGGCAGACUAGAGUGCGGUAGGGGAGAUUGGAAUUCCUGGUGUAGCGGUGGAAUGCGCAGAUAUCAGGAGGAACACCGAUGGCGAAGGCAGAUCUCUGGGCCGUAACUGACGCUGAGGAGCGAAAGCAUGGGGAGCGAACAGGAUUAGAUACCCUGGUAGUCCAUGCCGUAAACGUUGGGAACUAGAUGUAGGGACCAUUCCACGGUUUCUGUGUCGCAGCUAACGCAUUAAGUUCCCCGCCUGGGGAGUACGGCCGCAAGGCUAAAACUCAAAGGAAUUGACGG